rnacentral:lncRNA from 1 species
ACAUGAGGGUUGAGGAAAGAGACCCAGAAUGUCCAUUCCCUACUAAGCGAAAGGCCAUGGAGCGACGAUAGGAGUAAGGGGCACCGCUAGUUGAUGCUGAACAUUGAAAAUCUUCUGACAGCGAUCACACCUUCUGAUAAAAUGCGAGGCAUUCUUUUGCAUCGAAGGCCAAUAAUAGUCUUGCAGGAGGAUUUUGUAAGAAAAAAUUUUUGCACCCAAAUGAUUUCCA